CUGUAGUGUUUCAACCUCGCAAGCCAGGCUCUCUACUUCCGCUUCCCUCCCUAACACGCUGCAGCGGAAGUAGAGAGCCUGGCUUGCGAGGUUGGUAGUGUUU